rnacentral:rRNA from 1 species
GAUGAACGCUGGCGGCGUGCCUAAUACAUGCAAGUCGAGCGAACAGACGAGGAGCUUGCUCCUCUGACGUUAGCGGCGGACGGGUGAGUAACACGUGGAUAACCUACCUAUAAGACUGGGAUAACUUCGGGAAACCGGAGCUAAUACCGGAUAAUAUAUUGAACCGCAUGGUUCAAUAGUGAAAGACGGUUUUGCUGUCACUUAUAGAUGGAUCCGCGCCGCAUUAGCUAGUUGGUAAGGUAACGGCUUACCAAGGCAACGAUGCGUAGCCGACCUGAGAGGCUGAUCAGCCACCCUGGUACUGAGACGCGGUCCAGGCCCCUGCGGGAAGCAGCACUAGGGAAUCUUCCGCAAUGGGCGGAAGCCUGACGGCGCAACGCCGCGUGAGUGAUGAAGGUCUUCGGAUCGUAAAGCUCUGUUAUUAGGGAAGAACAAAUGUGUAAGUAACUAUGCACGUCUUGACGGUACCUAAUCAGAAAGCCACGGCUAACUACGUG